rnacentral:rRNA from 1 species
UCAGAACGAACGCUGGCGGCGCGUCUAAGCAUGCAAGUCGAACGGCAAGAGGUAGCAAUACCUCCUAGAGUGGCGGACUGGUGAGUAACACGUGGUGACAUACCCUUCAGAUGGGGAUAGCUAUUAGAAAUAGUAGAUAAUACCGAAUACGAGCACAGGGGUUAGAGAUCUGUGAGGAAAGGAGCUAAGGCUCCGCUGAAGGAAUGGCCUGCGGCCCAUUAGCUAGUUGGUGAGGUAAGAGCCCACCAAGGCGAUGAUGGGUAUCCGGCCUUAGAGGGUGAACGGACACAUUGGGACUGAGAUACGGCCCAGACUCCUACGGGAGGCAGCAGCUAAGAAUAUUCCGCAAUGGACGAAAGUCUGACGGAGCGACGCCGCGUGGAUGAAGAAGGCCGGAAGGUUGUAAAAUCCUUUUGAAACUGAAGAAUAAGCGUUGUAGGGAAUGACAGCGUGGUGACAGUAGGUUUUGAAUAAGCAACGGCUAAUUACGUGCCAGCCGCUGC